UGUGUGAUGUCUAGUGGCACGCGGUUUUAUGCAACACAUUGGAACAUGGCAAGCAAACUUGGAAUAAGAAUUGGAGCGAGGAUCAACAUCAGCAUGUUGUUUACGAAAUGCAGCAGCGAUGCCGCUCUAAUAGACAGGCUGGGACUCGCGUGUGGCACUGAAAUCAGUCUCUCGUUGCAAUCGCACCCGCGAUUCCACGCCGAGAUUGUGCCUUUAGCACAGAAAAUCUGGUGCACGUGCAUGAAGCUGAUCACACAGGACAUAGACGGAGACUUACUGCAGAAAGUAACACGUACAGGUAAUUUUUUGUAUACAGUAUGUAAAUGACAUAGCCUUAUUACCACACAGG